CCAAUAGGCAGCAUCGUCGGGGUGGCAGAUGGAACCGUGGGAACGGCGAACACUGCAGCGACUGUCAAUGGAGGGAUGGGAAACACCAACGUGCAUUUCAACCUGUACCAGCCGACAUCGGAGGACCGAGGGGAGGUCGUUAUAUCCUGUCUGAGGGCUCUGAACCGUGGCGAGGAUAUAGCACACUUAAUGAAUGAGUUUCAACCAUGGGG